UCAGUCUCCUCCUCUGUGAGGGUCAAGCGCGGACGGGAGGAAGGAGGAGAGCGGACAGCCCGCAGUGCACGGGGCAGCCUGACACCCGAGGGCGCAGCCAGAGGACACCCAAAGCCGCCGCACUGCACCCACCGGGUCCCCACUCACCCCUUCCCGCCCGCGGCUCCGGGGACUGAAUGAAACUUCCUCAUUACAGGCGCUUCCCUGAGCUGCAAAUUUUAAGGAAAUUCUUAAAUUAAUUUUUUUUUUUUUUUUUUUUUUUUUAAAGCAAUAAUUUUAUUCUUUUUCUUUUUAUUUAUUAUUUUUCCUGCAGCUUGUUGCACAGGAAGUUCUGCUUUGUGACUCUCCCUGCACGUGUAUUUGUAGUGCACCAUCCCAUUGGGGGCUGUAGGUCACCUGACAAGUUCAGAUUCAAGAACCAAAUUUUGGAAUUUUUAAACUUUUUUUUUUUUUUUUUUCACAAUAUUUACAUUUGAGAAGAAGAAAUAUUAUUAAUAAUAAACAAUAAUAAUAAUAUAAUUUUUUUUUAACCUUUUGGUAGUAUUUGCACUUGGUGUACACACAUAUAUAUAGCGGUCAUGUCUGCACCUGACGUGUUCCCACCUGCGCCGGAGGUGUCUGCCGCCGCGCACAUCUCGUCUUUUGAGAAAUAUCAAGAAAUGUAUGAGAAAUCGGUGCGAGAACCCAGUGAGUUUUGGGGAGAAAUUGCAAAUGAAUUCUACUGGAGGGUGCCUCCCGCUCAGCCGUUCUUGAACUACAACUUUGACGUUACUAAAGGGAAGAUUUUUAUCGAAUGGAUGAAAGGAGCGGUCACCAAUAUAUGUUACAACGUCCUGGAUAGAAACGUCCAUGAGAAGAAACUGGGCGAUAAAGUGGCAUUUUAUUGGGAAGGGAAUGAACCCGGAGACUCGACCUCCAUCACUUACGCAGAGCUCCUGAAAAAAGUGUGCCAGUUUGCCAAUGUUCUACGUGACCAAGGUGUUAAAAAAGGAGACCGCGUGUCCAUAUACAUGCCCAUGGUGAUUGAGCUUGUUGUAGCUAUGCUGGCAUGUGCUCGAAUCGGAGCCAUUCACUCCAUUGUGUUUGCAGGGUUUUCUGCGGAGUCUCUGUGCGAGCGGAUCUUGGACUCUCACUGCACCCUCCUUAUUACAGCAGAUGGCUUUUUUCGUGGGGAUAAGUUAAUUAACCUGAAGCUGAUUGCAGAUGAGGCAUUAAAGAAGUGUACAGAGAAGAACUAUUCCCUGAAGAAGUGCAUCGUGUUGAAACACUUGGCGAGAGAUGAUGCGAUCUGUGAUGGAUCCAGCAAAACCUCACCUCCGUGCAAGAGACUUUGCCAGAAUGUACAGGGAAACAAGCAGAACAGAGCGAGGCAAGCUGUACCCCAGACCACGUGGAAUCCAUCUGUGGACUUGUGGUGGCACGAACUUGUAAAGAAAGCCAGCAUGGAGUGUGAGCCCGAGUGGUGUGAUGCCGAAGAUGAGCUGUUCAUUCUGUACACCAGUGGGUCCACCGGCAAACCCAAGGGAGUUGUCCAUUCUGUGGGGGGUUACAUGAUCUUCACUGCCACCACAUUUAAGUAUGUGUUUGACUACCACCAAGACGAUGUAUACUGGUGCACUGCCGACAUUGGAUGGAUAACCGGGCACUCCUACCUCACCUAUGGACCUCUAGCCAAUGGGGCAACCAGUGUAUUGUUUGAAGGGCUUCCUAUAUACCCCGACAUCUCCCGCAUGUGGCAGAUCAUUGACAAGUACAACGUAAGCAAAUUCUACACAGCGCCGACAGCAAUCCGCCUGCUGAUGAAGUACGGAGAGGAGCCCGUGAAGAGGUAUAGUAGAAAAUCCCUGAAGAUUUUGGGAACAGUCGGAGAACCAAUUAAUCCUGAAGCCUGGCUUUGGUAUUACAAUGUGGUAGGAGAGAAGAGAUGCCCGAUUGUCGACACUUUUUGGCAGACAGAAACGGGAGGUCAUGUGUUAACUCCACUUCCAGGUGCGACAGCAACCAAGCCGGGUUCAGCAACUUUUCCCUUUUUUGGAGUUGUUCCUGCCAUCUUGAAUGAGUCUGGGGAGGAACUUGAAGGAGAAGCUGAAGGUUAUCUAGUAUUUAAACAACCCUGGCCUGCACUCAUGCGCACAGUCUACGGGAACCAUGAACGCUUCGAGAUGACCUACUUCAAGAAGUUCCCUGGAUUUUAUGUGACAGGAGAUGGCUGCAGAAGAGACAAGGACGGUUAUUAUUGGAUUACUGGAAGGAUAGAUGACAUGCUUAAUGUAUCUGGUCACUUGCUGAGCACAGCGGAGGUGGAAUCCGCACUGGUUGAACACUCAUCUGUAGCCGAGGCUGCUGCCGUCAGCCACCCGCACCCAGUAAAGGGGGAAUGUCUGUAUUGCUUCGUCACCCUACGUGAUGGACACGAGUUUACUAAAUCGCUAACCGAUCAACUAAAAAAAUUAGUAAGAGAAAAGAUUGGACCAAUUGCCACUCCAGAUUAUAUCCAGAAUGCCCCUGGACUGCCCAAAACACGCUCAGGUAAAAUAAUGAGACGGGUGUUAAGAAAAAUUGCCAAAAAUGACCGAGAACUGGGCGACGUUUCGACUUUGGCGGACACGGCCGUCCUACAACAACUGUUUGAAAACCGGUGUCAGACUAUUCAGUCGUAACGGAGAACGUAAAAAUGUCCACUGUGAAUCUCAGAGUUCAAUACCUCCCGGAUGUCGCAGCCAUAAUAGUCAUUCGGUGUCUACAAGGGAUUUUGUGUGUUUGUAUAUUUUGGAAGAAUUGAGUCUUGUGUGUUUUUAUGAUUAUUAUUUUUUUUUUUUACAUGGAAUAUGUUCCGUGGUUUCUUUAGCCACGUUCUGUAAAACCAAAAGUUGGUGAACCGGCUGAGCAGAAAACCAGAAAUGCUAAGCUGUCGGCGCUCCUGACUUCUCUCUUGGAACGUGCACCCUGGUUUGGAAACACUGCCUGACAACCAUGCUCUGCCGCUCCUCUGUUAUUCCUCCUGGAAAAUGUUUUGAAUCAUUGGCUGUCCGGUCAUGAUGGGUGUUGUAAUGUUGCAACAGCUGGAGGCACUCUGUUUGGGAAACACUGCUUUAAACAAUCUAAAGGCUAUGUGUACACAUUAGUUGGGACUGACUGACUCCAUAGACCAGGUAUGUUUGAUUUAGUUUAGGAGAUAAGCAGCCAUCAGAGGAGUCUGGCAGCAGCUUACCUCUCUUCUCCCCAUUCAGAACACAUGAACGCUCAGCUGAGCUGAACAUUCAUGUAUAUGGGGUGAACGGGAGGAGAUGGCUAUUGAAUGGUGUAUUGGUUAUCCAGGAGUGGAAAAUCAAAAGCCGCUUUCUUACAAAAACAGCGCCACGCCUGUCUGCAGGUUGUGUGUGGUAUUACAACUCUGCUCCAUUCACUUUAAUGGAACUGAGCUGCAAUACCAUACACAACCUGAGGACAGCUGUGGUGCUGCUUCUUAAAGAGAACCUCUCAUGAUCUUGUUAAAUUUUAUAAUCCUCCCAGGUCACUGCCCCCAUCACGAUAAACCACCCCCUGCCUUUAUUUUUAUUAUUUUUUUAGUUUUCUACCUUGAUAUUGCUCUGUAUUUUCUGCUCGCUCAGAUUCCCAGACUGGGAAGGGGCGUUCCCCAGAAGGUGUGACAUCAUCUGAAGCCAUACAGGGGAGAACUUCCUCCCUCACUCUGCUACACACAGCCUAGAGCAGUUCAGUGUGAGAUGAGCUAUGAUUGGCUAAGGCUGCACACACUCCUCAGUAUUUCCUGAUUUUGGACUUCUGCCAGGCCAACAGUCCAAAGUCUGUGCAAGAGAUGGGGGGGGGGGGGUGCUCUGGACAAGUAGGGAGACACCUAGUGGCAGCUUUUUUUAAACACAAAUAAAAAAUAGAAAACUUCUUCAUUUUUAAACAAAGUGCGUUAGAAAGAUUUUUUUUUUAUGUACCAUAAGGAGUGCAAUAGCAAAAAAAAAUUAACCCUGUAAAGGCUCAUUCACACUACAGAUUUUCGGAGCGGAAUUAUGCUUGGGGGGGGGGGGGGGAAAGAACAAAUAGUUCAGCAGCUUUUCCGCAUUCACACUACGGAAUUUCGGCAGCGGAAAUUCCGGACCCCAGACUCCGCAAAAAGAACGAACGUGUUUGUUCUAUCGCGCAAGAAAAUUCAUUGCGGUCUAUGGAGUUCGCACAUUCCCGAGCGGUCCCAGCGCCUAUUCCAGAUGGAAUCUUCGCCCCGAAAUAUCUUUUGGGGGGGGGGGGAGAUUCCGUAGUGUGAAUAAGCCCUAAAACUACCAGCUGUAAAGGGGAAAUGUAUCAUUAGUGGCGAUUUUUUUGCACAAUGCGAAACCUGCUGCGCAAGUGUGUAGUUGUUCCCAGUUUCAGUGCAAAAAUCUAUUAUGUUGCGCAUGUAACGUGAUAAAUUUGCGCAAAUGACAAGAUAGUGGGGGGGGGGGGGGGAGGAUGAAAAAGCUCAUACACAAUCCUAUGCCAGAUGGUAACCGAAGGACUUUUGAGCGAAAAAAAUAAAUAAAAAUUGCGCAAGUGAUAUAUUCAGUGCAUUUACUUAAGCGUACUAGAAAAAUAGGCAAAAAUACGAAGGCAGCGCGGACAAACUAAAAAUAGCGCAUAAUGAGAUAAUGAUUUAGGCAAAAAAUGUACAAAAGUUAAAACACACUGAGCACGCAAUUUUGUAGGUAGGUGUACGCUGGUAUAAACAUUGAGAGAUGGCUGGAUGCAGGGUUCUUAAGGUUAUCUUAUUGGAAAGUCUUAGCAAUAACUUAGAGCAGUGUUUUACCUACCAGGGUGCCUCCAGCUGUUGCAAAACUACAAGUCCCAGCAUGCCCGGGGUUGGGAAACCCUGCUGUAGAUUGUAGUUUGCACAGUGAACAUGUCCAUGACAGAUCAGUUUAGAUUUGUCCAAUUUUUAAAUUUACAGAACAGAC